AGUGUUUGGAUAAGUUGAAUAACUGCUGAAAAAAGAAUAGUCUACUUUCAAUGAUUAUGCAGUUGAUAAAGAUUAUAUCUUCAUAUAUACUAUUACAUGAUUUUAUAUAUAUUAAUUUUAUUAUAUAUAAUUAUUUACAUGUAUAAUAGUGUAUUUAUAUAUCACAUAUACUAUAAUAUGUGUUUUAUAUAUGAUAAAAUAUUACAAUAUCUUAUAAUAUAUUGUAAGAUUAUAAUAUCAGAUCCAGAUUGUGUAUCUGAAAGGGUUUAUGGGGGAGGAGCUGUUUUUUCCUGCCCUAAGCCACUCAGGGCCUGCAGCUACUUCUUGGUGCCACUUACCCAAAUUCUCUUCCCUAAAAAUAAAGUUGUAUGGCGUUCCCCUUGUGGCUCAGUGGUAACGAACACAAUUAGUAUCCAUGAGGAUGCAGGUUCGAUCCCUGGCCUCGCUCAGUGGGUUAAGGAUCCAGCAUUGCCGUGAGCUGUGGUGUAGGUCACAGAUAGAUAUAGCUCAGAUCUGGCGUCGCUGUGGCUGUGGUGGAAGCCAGAAGCUGUAACUCAGAUUCGACCCGUAGCCUAGAAAUCUCCAUAUGCCAUGGGUACAGCCCUAAAAAGACCCCAAAAAAUAAAAAUUAAAAAUAAAUAGUUUCUCUAAUAUGCAAUGUUAACUCAAAAACCUGUUGACAAAUGAAACGUACUUCCAGAGAAAUGUCCUUUUAGGAUAUCAGUUCUGAAAAUUAGCUGCACAUCAACUGUAAUCAGCUGGGGAGUUUUAAAAAUAAUGUUGCCGUGUCCCACUCCCAGAGAUAGACAGUGAAUUGUUCCAAGGUGUGGCCUGGGCAUCCCCAGACCAUUCAGGUCAGUGGUGGAAAACCACAGAUGGAAAGGAUUAGCGCUCAAGCUUGGCUUCUUUUAGAGACACCUGUUAAGCCUCUGGUCAGACACUCUGGGGGAGGUGCCCAGGUACCAUGCUUUUAACCAUCACCUCAGGCAAUUUCAGCAAAUUAGCCAAGGUGGAGACCCACUAAUUUUUGAAAACCUCCCUCCCCAAAUUUCUUCUUAAAUUUCUAGGGCUCUUAUAUUUGGGAAAUGCAUUGUAGUUAUUUUGCCAGUUCUUGUCUCAAAAAUUUGGUGUUAACGUGACUUCCCAUUUUACAGAGAGGAACACCGGCUCAGAGUAUUGUACUUCGUGUCUGUGCCGGAGUCAGGACAGCCACCCACCUCUGGUCAGUAAUUCCUGGUUAGCCAAACUGUCCCCCAUGUCGGAUUAAAAAUAAAAACCUUCUUACCCUUUUCAAAUCAGUUAAAUGAAACAAGCACAGAAAUCAGCCUCUCUCCUAACACGAAGGGCUGCCCUUGCCAAAUGGAUUGAAUGAAUGCGGAAGUGUUUACAAGUCCAUUAGAUCAUUGAAAAUAAAUAUGAACAAGGUGCAGGUGUCUUUACACCCCCAUCCCUCAAGGGCAUGGUUUUGUGGCAAACCAACAGGCCUUUGUGCAUGGCCAGUGAGGAUUUAACAUUUUCUAGAAGGUAGAAUAGGAAUUGAAAAUGAAUAGAGCGUGCUAUCAUAGGCUUUUUCUGCCUUAAUAGCAAAUGAAAGAUAAAAUGCAGACUCCUUCCCCCUCCCCUUGCUGUUUGUUUUUCUGCCUUGACACAAAGGAGAAUAGCAAUGUCCCUAGCUGGGAUCUCAUGGGACCUUGUCCUGUUUCAGCUUUGCUUUUGUCAAACCAUUAAGCCAGAGUUUUCCUGUCAUAAUUUCAUCUGAUUAUUUUUAAUUAAAACUCCAUGCAUGGUAAUUCCUCUCCUGCUUCGGUAUUUACAAGUUUCAAAUAUUUGUAGACUGUUAUCAGCCAGCUCCUCCUCAGCAGUUGCUUAGCCUAACUCUACGUAUUUAGUGUUUCUAAUCAUCUUUCUGGGGCUGGACUUUCUCUGCCGUAAUCAUUGUUUGGUCUUAUUAGUUGUCAUUUUCUCCAGCUGACUCUCAUUCUGUGGUCUCUUAUCUUUCUUCUUCCGCUCUGGGUGCCAACUUCCAAGUUCAUUGUCACUGGUUAGGUGCAGAAGCAGGCUGUUUACUGAGGUAAUUAUGUUACCCUUGGUAUUCUGCCUUGUUCAUGACUUUCCCACCUACUGUCCAGUUUGGAAUUGGUUUUGAUCUUAUCUGACUAAUACAACUUCUUCUUUAGUAUGAGCCUUUAUCACUUUUAAAGAAACUUAGGAGUUCCCGUCCUGGCUCAGCAGAGACAAAUCUGACUGGGAACCAUGAGGUUGUGGGUUUGAUCCCUGGCCUCGCUCAGUGGGUUAAGGAUCGAGCAUUGCCGUGAGCUGUGGUGUAGGUCGCAGACGCAGCUUGGAUCCUGCGUUGCUAUGGCUGUGGUGCAGGCCAGCAGCUACAGCUCUGAUUAGACCCCUAGCCUGGGAACCUCCAUAUGCCGUGGGUACAGCCCU
ensembl:lncRNA